GACGAACGCUGGCGGCGUGCUUAACACAUGCAAGUCGAACGGAAAGGCCCUGCUUUUGUGGGGUGCUCGAGUGGCGAACGGGUGAGUAACACGUGAGUAACCUGCCCUUGACUUUGGGAUAACUUCAGGAAACUGGGGCUAAUACCGGAUAGGAGCUCCUGCUGCAUGGUGGGGGUUGGAAAGUUUCGGCGGUUGGGGAUGGACUCGCGGCUUAUCAGCGUGUUGGUGGGGUAGUGCCUUACCAAGGCUUUGACGGGUAGCCGGCCUGAGAGGGUGACCGGCCACAUUGGGACGGAGAUACGGCCCAGACUCCUACGGGGGGCAGCAGUGGGGAAUAUUGCACAAUGGGCGGAAGCCUGAUGCAGCAACGCCGCGUGCGGGAUGACGGCCUUCGGGCUGUAAACCGCUUUGGCCUGUGCCGAAGCGUGAGUGACGGUAAUGGGUAAAGAAGCACCGGCUAACUACGUG
rnacentral:rRNA from 1 species